AAUGAACGCUGGCGGCAUGCCUAACACAUGCAAGUCGAACGACAGCACAGUGAGCGCUUGCUCUUGCGGGUGGCGAGUGGCGGACGGGUGACGUAUGCAUCGGAUUCCUCUUUUUCGUGGGUGAUAACGUAGGGCAACUUCUGCUAAUACCUCAUAUGUCCUACGGGUUAGAGCAGGGGAUCUUCUGACCUUUCGCGAUUGUAUUAGCCAAUGUCGGAUUAGCUAGUUGGCUGGGUAAAGGCAUACCUAGGCGACGCUCCGUAGCUGAUCUGACCGGAUGGACAGAUAGACUGGAAGUGAGAAAGGGUCCAGACUCCGAGGGGAGGCAGCAGUGGGGAAUAUUGCGCAAUGGGGGAAAGCCUGAUAGAGCAAAACCGCGUGAGUGAAGAAGGACUUAGGGUGGUAAAGCGCUGUUGUUGGGAAAGAAAAAAAGCAGGUUUAACCGGGGAGGUAAUGACGGUACCGAAAGAAUAAGCACCGGCUAACUACGUG
rnacentral:rRNA from 1 species